rnacentral:rRNA from 1 species
UAGCUAGUUGGUAAGGUAACGGCUUACCAAGGCAAUGAUGCAUAGCCGAGUUGAGAGACUGAUCGGCCACAUUGGGACUGAGACACGGCCCAAACUCCUACGGGAGGCAGCAGUAGGGAAUCUUCCACAAUGGACGAAAGUCUGAUGGAGCAACGCCGCGUGAGUGAAGAAGGGUUUCGGCUCGUAAAGCUCUGUUGGUAGUGAAGAAAGAUAGAGGUAGUAACUGGCCUUUAUUUGACGGUAAUUACUUAGAAAGUCACGGCUAACUACGUGCCAGCAGCCGCGGUAAUACGUAGGUGGCAAGCGUUGUCCGGAUUUAUUGGGCGUAAAGCGAGUGCAGGCGGUUCAAUAAGUCUGAUGUGAAAGCCUUCGGCUCAACCGGAGAAUUGCAUCAGAAACUGUUGAACUUGAGUGCAGAAGAGGAGAGUGGAACUCCAUGUGUAGCGGUGGAAUGCGUAGAUAUAUGGAAGAACACCAGUGGCGAAGGCGGCUCUCUGGUCUGCAACUGACGCUGAGGCUCGAAAGCAUGGGUAGCGAACAGGAUUAGAUACCCUGGUAGUCCAUGCCGUAAACGAUGAGUGCUAAGUGUUGGGAGGUUUCCGCCUCUCAGUGCUGCAGCUAACGCAU